rnacentral:rRNA from 1 species
AUUGAACGCUGGCGGCAGGCCUAACACAUGCAAGUCGAGCGAGUGGCGGACGGGUGAGUAAUGUCUGGGGAACUGCCUGAUAGAGGGGGAUAACUACUGGAAACGGUGGCUAAUACCGCAUACUAUCGGAUGUACCCAUAUGGGAUUAGCUAGUAGGUGGGGUAACGGCUCACCUAGGCGACGAUCCCUAGCUGGUCUGAGAGGAUGAGCAGCCACACUGGAACUUAGACACGGCCCAGACUCCUACGGGAGGCAGCAGUGGGGAAUAUUGCACAAUGGGCGCAAGCCUGAUGCAGCCAUGCCGCGUGUAUGAAGAAGGCCUUCGGGUUGUAAAGUACUUUCAGUCGGGAGGCGUUACCGACAGAAGAAGCACCGGCUAACUCCGUGCCAGCAGCCGCGGUAAUUC